UUCGGUGGCUGGGUGAUCGCUGCUGCGCGCAAGCGUGGUAGAGGAAAGUCCGAACACCCUUCCCGAAGGAUUUCGGGAUGCCAGUGGUAGUCGCUAACAGCGACGGGGAGCAACGAUGUUGGAGUGUGCGCUAGCGCCUUCAGUAUCGCCAAACCCACGGAGAGUCUUUCGGUGGCGAUCGUCACCGGAGGGGAUCCCGCGCAGAUGGCGUAGGACCGUCUGCGCAUGGACCGCAACAGAAAAUAUACCGCCAGGAAUCCUGCCUCGAAACUUCCUGGUAAGGGCGAAAUCGUGAGGUAAGAGCUCACGCGGGACUGCCCCGAGAGGGGCGCCGUGGCAAACACCUACCCGGUGCAAGGGGAGUACCCCCGCAGGAGCGACGCAGUAAUGCGUCGCCAAGAGAGAUGAUCACUGUAGCGCCGCAAGGCGUGAGACAGAAUUCGGCUUACAGGCCACCGAACCGA
rnacentral:RNase_P_RNA from 1 species